AUUCCUCGGCAGGGCAGGCGCGGUCUCUUCGGCUCCGAGCUGACCCUGAUCAGGGCCGAGUCGUCUCGGCGGCGCUGCCGAGACCUCCACCCAGGACAAUCCCCCUCCCCGGGCCUCUCUCCUCUUGCCUACGAGUCCCCUCUCCUCAUAGGCCUCUCGGAUCUGAUAUCGUGGGGUGAGGUGAGCAGGCCCGGGGAGGGUGGUUACCGCUGAGGAGCUGCAGUCGCUGUCAAGAUGAUAGAGGUACUGACAACAACUGACUCCCAGAAACUGCUACACCAGCUGAAUGCCCUGUUGGAACAGGAGUCUAGAUGUCAGCCAAAGGUCUGUGGUUUGAGACUAAUUGAGUCUGCACACGAUAAUGGCCUCAGAAUGACUGCAAGACUAAGGGACUUUGAAGUGAAAGAUCUUCUUAGUCUAACUCAGUUCUUUGGCUUCGACACAGAGACGUUUUCUCUAGCUGUGAAUUUACUGGACAGAUUCCUGUCUAAAAUGAAGGUAUGUUUGAAGGUAAUUUUGCUCAGUGUGUUUUGGAGAUGGAAUUGUUACCUUUUGGCUGGUAUUCAUAAA
rnacentral:sRNA from 1 species